GGGCAAGUCCCGUACGACCAGCUCCCGCCGAAUCCCCCAGGGCCGGAAGGCAGCAAGGGCAGGCGGUUGUAGCGGUGCGAUGCGGAUCGCUUGCCCCUC
rnacentral:SRP_RNA from 1 species